rnacentral:misc_RNA from 1 species
AACCUAGCACACCUGCGGUGUGUACCUGCGGAGGGAUCAUUAACGAAUUACUAGGGGUUGUGCUGGUUUUACAAGUGCACACCUCUUAUAUUCUAUUCACACCCACUGUGCACUUUAAGAGACGUAUUUCCCCCGUUUACGUGCCUUUAUUGGCUUGGGAUUUCGUCUGUUUCAUACACUCUUAUUGUAUUAGAAUGUAAUCAGCGGAAACGCUAAAACAUAAUAUAACUUUUAACAACG